rnacentral:rRNA from 1 species
GUGGGGAAUCUUAGACAAUGGGGGAAACCCUGAUCUAGCCAUGCCGCGUGAGCGAUGAAGGCCUUAGGGUUGUAAAGCUCUUUCAGCUGGGAAGAUAAUGACGGUACCAGCAGAAGAAGCCCCGGCUAACUCCGUGCCAGCAGCCGCGGUAAUACGGAGGGGGCUAGCGUUGUUCGGAAUUACUGGGCGUAAAGCGCACGUAGGCGGAUCAGAAAGUCAGAGGUGAAAUCCCAGGGCUCAACCUUGGAACUGCCUUUGAAACUCCUGGUCUUGAGGUCGAGAGAGGUGAGUGGAAUUCCGAGUGUAGAGGUGAAAUUCGUAGAUAUUCGGAGGAACACCAGUGGCGAAGGCGGCUCACUGGCUCGAUACUGACGCUGAGGUGCGAAAGCGUGGGGAGCAAACAGGAUUAGAUACCCCGGUAGUCC